rnacentral:rRNA from 1 species
UGCGGAGGGUGCGAGCGUUUAUCGGAAUUACUGGGCGUAAAGCGUGCGUAGGCGGAUGCUUGAGUCGGAUGUGAAAGCCCUGGGCUCAACCUGGGAAUGGCAUUCGAUACUGGGCAUCUAGAGUGUGGUAGAGGGGGGUAGAAUUCCUGGUGUAGCGGUGAAAUGCGUAGAUAUCAGGAGGAAUUCCUGUGGCUACGGCGACCCCCUGGACCUACACUGACGCUGAGGUACGAAAGCGUGGGUAGCAAACAGG